GACGAACGCUGGCGGCGUGCCUAAUACAUGCAAGUAGAACGCUGAAGGAGGAGCUUGCUUCUCUGGAUGAGUUGCGAACGGGUGAGUAACGCGUAGGUAACCUGCCUGGUAGCGGGGGAUAACUAUUGGAAACGAUAGCUAAUACCGCAUAAGAGUAGAUGUUGCAUGACAUUUGCUUAAAAGGUGCAAUUGCAUCACUACCAGAUGGACCUGCGUUGUAUUAGCUAGUUGGUGGGGUAACGGCUCACCAAGGCGACGAUACAUAGCCGACCUGAGAGGGUGAGCGGCCAGAAGGGGAGUGAGAUCGGGCCAGGACGCCUACGGGAGGCAGCAGUAGGGAAUGUUCGGAAAUGGACGGAAGUCUGACCGAGCAAGGCGGAGUGAGUGAAGAAGGUUUUGGGAUCGUAAAGCUCGGUUGUAAGAGAAGAAAGAGUGUGAGAGUGGAAAGUUCACACUGUGACGGUAUCUUACCAGAAAGGGACGGCUAACUACGUG
rnacentral:rRNA from 1 species